AUACGGAGGGUCCGAGCGUUAUCCGGAAUCAUUGGGUUUAAAGGGUCCGUAGGCGGGAAUCUAAGUCAGUGGUGAAAUCUUGCAGCUCAACUGUAAAUUGCCAUUGAUACUGGAUUUCUAGAAUUAGUGUGAAGUGGUUAGAAUGUGUAGUGUAGCGGUGAAAUGCAUAGAUAUUACACAGAAUACCAAUUGCGAAGGCAGAUCACUAACACUAUAUUGACGCUAAGGGACGAAAGCGUGGGGAGCGAACAGGAUUAGAAACCCGGGUAGUCC
rnacentral:rRNA from 1 species